rnacentral:rRNA from 1 species
AACGAACGCUGGCGGCAUGCCUAACACAUGCAAGUCGAACGAGACCUUCGGGUCUAGUGGCGCACGGGUGCGUAACACGUGGGAAUCUGCCCUUUGCUUCGGAAUAACAGUUAGAAAUGACUGCUAAUACCGGAUGAUGUCGAAAGACCAAAGAUUUAUCGGCAAAGGAUGAGCCCGCGUAGGAUUAGGUAGUUGGUUGGGUAAAGGCCUACCAAGCCGACGAUCCUUAGCUGGUCUGAGAGGAUGAUCAGCCACACUGGGACUGAGAAACGGCCCAGACUCCUACGGGAGGGAGCAGUGGGGAAUAUUGGAAAAUGGGCGAAAGCAUGAACCAGCAAUGCCGCGUGAGUGAUGAAGGCCUUAGAGUUGUAAAGCUCUUUUACCAGGGAAGAUAAUGACAGUACCUGGAGAGUAAGCUCCGGCUAACUCCGUG